GUUUCUCAUUGCUUUCUCAAUUUUGUGCAAAAUAAUCAAGUUGGGUUGAAUAAAGUGACGACGUCGCCCACCCCUCCGGCCACCCAAAACUGGGAAACCAGAGAGGCCCUUGAUCUCAAGAAGAUCAGAGUGAAGAGCGACACCGAAAAACAGACGUUCGUGGUUCACAGUGGUGUCAGUGCGAACGCGAGAGCCUUGAGAGCUCCCACUCCGACUUUUGGAUAUUUCUUAAUGAUCCAACCGCAGGUUCACCUACGGUUA
rnacentral:misc_RNA from 1 species